AGUACGAGAGGAUUGCGGGGACGGAACCACUGGUGGAUCGAUUGUUCUUCCUAGAGCAGGGUCGAGAAGCUACGUUUCGAGAGGAGAAACGACGGAGGUCGUGAAACCUCCCUUUACACAAGGCUUAGGCUAUGGGAAAGACUCUCCCAAAAAUGGGCUCUGGAGUGUCCCUUGAAAAUCAAGAAGCUUCCGAGUUCCAAGAAAAUC
rnacentral:rRNA from 1 species